rnacentral:tRNA from 1 species
GCGGAAAUAGCUCAGUUGGUAGAGCAUAACCUUGCCAAGGUUAGGGUCGCGAGUUCGAGUCUCGUUUUCCGCCCCA